GAUGAACGCUGGCGGCGUGCCUAAUACAUGCAAGUCGAGCGAACGGACGAGAAGCUUGCUUCUCUGAUGUUAGCGGCGGACGGGUGAGUAACACGUGGAUAACCUACCUAUAAGGCUGGGAUAACUUCGGGAAACCGGAGCUAAUACCAGAUAAUAUUUUGAACCGCAUGGUUCAAAAGUGAAAGACGGUCUUGCUGUCACUUAUAGAUGGAUCCGCGCUGCAUUAGCUAGUUGGUAAGGUAACGGCUUACCAAGGCAACGAUGCAUAGCCGACCUGAGAGGGUGAUCGGCCACACUGGAACUGAGACACGGUCCAGACUCCUACGGGAGGCAGCAGUAGGGAAUCUUCCGCAAUGGGCGAAAGCCUGACGGAGCAACGCCGCGUGAGUGAUGAAGGUCUUCGGAUCGUAAAACUCUGUUAUUAGGGAAGAACAUAUGUGUAAGUAACUGUGCACAUCUUGACGGUACCUAAUCAGAAAGCCACGGCUAACUACGUG
rnacentral:rRNA from 1 species